rnacentral:rRNA from 1 species
AGAGUUUGAUCAUGGCUCAGGAUGAACGCUAGCUACAGGCUUAACACAUGCAAGUCGAGGGGCAGCAUUGGAGUAGCAAUACUCAGAUGGCGACCGGCGCACGGGUGAGUAACACGUAUCCAACCUGCCGCUUACUCGGGGAUAGCCUUUCGAAAGAAAGAUUAAUACCCGAUGGUAUAAAGAGUUCGCAUGUUCUCUUUAUUAAAGAAUUUCGGUAAGCGAUGGGGAUGCGUUCCAUUAGAUAGUUGGCGGGGUAACGGCCCACCAAGUCUACGAUGGAUAGGGGUUCUGAGAGGAAGGUCCCCCACAUUGGAACUGAGACACGGUCCAAACUCCUACGGGAGGCAGCAGUGAGGAAUAUUGGUCAAUGGACGCGAGUCUGAACCAGCCAAAAGUAGCGUGAAGGAUGACUGCCCUAUGGGUUGUAAACUUCUUUUAUAAGGGAAUAAAGUGAGGGACGUGUCCCUUUUUGUAUGUACCUUAUGAAUAAGGAUCGGCUAACUCCGUGCCAGCCGCCGC